rnacentral:sRNA from 1 species
CAAGGUUUCCGUAGGUGAACCUGCGGAAGGAUCAUUAAUGAAUGCAAAUGGCGAAGGGGGGAGGAGCAUGGGAAUGCUGUCGCUGGUCUGUAGUACUAGAGGAGAGGCAUGUUCUCGCUCAUUUCGUGGAAGUAAACGUCGUAACAAAUCAUCUGUCACCGAUCUCUGUGCAAAUUAAGGAAGUAAAAAGUCGUAACAAGGUCUCCGUUGGUGAACCAGCGGAGGGAUCAUUACAGAGUUGCAAAACUCCCACAAACCAUCGCGAAUCUUACCCGUACGGUUGCCUCGGCGCUGGCGGUCCGGAAAGGCCCUCGGGUCCUCCCGGAUCCUCGGGUCUCCCGCUCGCGGGAGGCUGCCCGCCGGAGUGCCGAAACUAAACUCUUGAUAUUUUAUGUCUCUUUGAGUAAACUUUUAAAUAAGUCAAAACUUUCAACAACGGAUCUCUUGGUUCUGGCAUCGAUGAAGAACGCAGCGAAAUGCGAUAAGUAAUGUGAAUUGCAGAAUUCAGUGAAUCAUCGAAUCUUUGAACGCACAUUGCGCUCGCCAGUAUUCUGGCGAGCAUGCCUGUUCGAGCGUCAUUUCAACCAUCAAGCUCUGCUUGCGUUGGGGAUCCGCGGCUGCCCGCGGUCCCUCAAAAUCAGUGGCGGGCUCGCUAGUCACACCGAGCGUAGUAACUCUACAUCGCUAUGGUCGUGCGGCGGGUUCUUGCCGUAAAA